GCCUGGGUGGCUUAGUCAGUUAAGCAUCCGACUCUUGGUUUCAGCUCAGGUCAUGAUCUCAGUUCUGUGGGUUCGAGCCCCACAUCAGGCA
rnacentral:tRNA from 1 species